UACGGGGGGGGCAAGCGUUGUUCGGAAUUACUGGGCGUAAAGGGCUCGUAGGCGGCCAACUAAGUCAGACGUGAAAUCCCUCGGCUUAACCGGGGAACUGCGUCUGAUACUGGUUGGCUUGAAUCCGGGAGAGGGAUGUGGAAUUCCAGGUGUAGCGGUGAAAUGCGUAGAUAUCUGGAGGAACACCGGUGGCGAAGGCGGCAUCCUGGACCGGUACUGACGCUGAGGCGCGAAAGCGUGGGGAGCAAACAGG
rnacentral:rRNA from 1 species